rnacentral:lncRNA from 1 species
AGUCGCGCCUGCCACAUCUACCUCCCCAGCCAUCCUACUCUCUAUGCUGCUGCAAACUAGACAUUCCUUCCUGGAGGGACCUCUCGCUUCCCAUCUUCAGAUCAGGACGCACGGUCUCUUCUCCGCAGCUGCUUCCUCUGGUGUUCCUGUGCUCCUGUCGGCCCGCUGCUCCCACACACAUGCCCAUUCUUCUCGGGCUGGCUUGUAUCUCAGGGUUACGCUCCCCAGGUCCCUUGCUCCAGCCUCCUCUUAAACAUGACAAAGAAUCCAAGGACUUGUGCUGGGGCUGUCAGCUGCUAUUCUGGUGCCCUGGGGACGAAGAAGGGAUCUGGAGGGAAGACUGUCACCCUCUUGCGAAUGUUUCCAAGAAGCAGCUCAGCAUGGGAGAGAAAAGGGGAGAUCCCAGUUCCAGGAACACCUGGCCAGUGUUUCACCUGUUUAUCGGAGUUGACAGGACCAGCCAGCCCUUUCCCACCUCUCCCCAUCAUGAUGGAUGGGAGCCUGGCCUUUGAGAAAGCACAGAACGUGGCACGUUGGAGGAAAUCAAAAGAAAUCUCGCCAUUGCCGGGAAUGGGUAAAUCACUCAGGCCGCGUGGGUCCUUGGCAGAUGGCAGAGGCGGCUUCCCAGUCCCCCACCUGGCACUAGAGGGACGGGGCGCGCACCCAACGGUGGCACGCAUCGCCGAAUUUUCCUGAAUGCCGCUGUGGCACAUUCCUGGCCUUUGCAGUUAUUAGGAAAUGAGAGGAUCUUUUUUCCUUCUACUCUCCCCUCCCCCUGCCUUCGUUUUUCUUCCAGGCAUGGAAUUAUCUACUUUAGCAGUUCAAAAGACAUUCCAUUCCCAUGACAAAGACAGAAAGGGGUGAUGUUGGCAUACUGUAGCCCUCUUUCUCAUAGGGAGACUUGAGCAAUAAAUCAUAAUGAAUGAGAAUUUAAAAUAGCAUUUAUUUAACCUUUAAUAGUACACCUUGCUGAUUUUCAAAGCGUCACCAACAGCUUUGUUUUUCACAUUCCCCAGCAAGGGUCCAACUCAAACUUUGAGCAGACAGUAGCGAAUUUUAUUCCUCUCAUAUAUUCCUAAAAAAAAAUGGGUUGAGGGGAUUCGUGUUCCGCUCCCUCUCAGCUCUUAAAUGUCUUAAGUCUAUCACUGAACAAAGAC